UACGAGGGGGCGAGCGUUGUUCGGAAUUAUUGGGCGUAAAGGGUGCGAUAGGCGGCCUGACAAGUCUGAUGUGAAAUCCCUGGGCUCAACCCAGGCCUGACAUCGGAACUGUCGGGCUUGAGUAUGGGAGAGGUGAGUGGAAUUUCGGUGUAGGCGGUGAAAUGCGUAGAUAUCGGAAAGGAAUCACCUGUGGCGAAAGCGGCUCACUGGACCAUUACUGACGCUGAGGCACGAAAGCUAGGGGAGCAAACAGG
rnacentral:rRNA from 1 species